CACGGCGAGGAUAAAGCAAGAUGGCGUCUGACGGUGAAGAUGUUAUUGCAGUCGUCACAGUUCAGUGUUCUUAAUCUGUGCCUCCAUGUACACAUAUAUGUCCUUUAUUAGAUUCUAGUAAAUAGACUAAAUAUCGUUAAUAACUGUUUGCAUCCGGUUAUAUUAGUCUGAGCGCACUUUGAUGCUUCUCGAGCAAGCUUAGCCUGCUAGUUAGCUUAGCUUGUUAGCUGCUCACAAAGAGAGGCGGAAGUGAUCAAAACACAUCGCUAAGCAGAGAUCACGUGUGAGUGUAAAGUGUUGUGAUUGUGUGAAAAUGUGCGAAAGAACCACAGCAGAGUACGAGGAGGAACUUUGUCCAACAAAAGAGGAGAAGGAGCGACAACAAACAAAAACAUCAAGUUGUGUUACACAGAACAGCCAUCCAUCUGCUGAUUGAACACCAAGAAGAAGAGGAGGGAGAGUGUCCUGUAGGGCAGGAGGAGGCUGAUUCCAGCAAGUAUCCACUGACUGUUGUCUCUGUGAAGACUGAAGAGCAUGAAGACAAACCACCUGAGUCCUCACAGCUUCAUCACAGUCCAAACGUCCAGCAGCCCCCUCACCUUAAAGAGGAAGAGGAGGAUCCACAUUCCCCCACAUUAAAGAGGAACAGGAGGAGGUGUUAAUCACAAAGGAGGAAGAGUGUCUUCUAGGGCAGGAGGAGGCUGAUGUCAGCAAGUUUCCACUGACUGUUGUCUCUGUGAAGACUGAAGAGCAUGAAGACAAACCACCUGAGUCCUCACAGCUUCAUCACAGCCCAAGUAAGCACAACAUCCACAUAUCAUUUUAUUCUCAGGGCAUUCAAUCCAUCACAACUGGACUCUUCACUUCGUCUUAGAAGACGUUUGUCCUCUCAUCCAAGUAGGCUUCAUCACUUCAUGCUCAUAGACUUAAAGUCUCAAAUCCAAUCAUUGGAAUUUAGAGGGGAACUGCACUUUUUGGGGGAAUUUUUCUAUCGUUCACAAUCAUUAUCAAAGACAUGAUGGAAGAUCAAUUAAAAAAAAACAACAUGACUUUCUUCCUCGGGCUGGGUGAUAUGGCCUUUUAUUAAAGGGGAACAUUAUCACCAGACCUAUGUAAGCGUCAACAUAUACCUUGAUGUGGCAGAAAAAAGACCAUAUAUUUUUUCAACUGAUUUCCGAACUCUAAAUGGGUGAAUUUUGGCGAAUUAAACGCCUUUCUGUUUAUGGCUCUUGUAGCGAUGACGUCAGUACGUGACAUUGCCUAGGUAAGAAAGCCGCCAUUUUCAUUUUUUCAAACACAUUACAAACACUGGGUCUCAGCUCUGUUAUUUUCUGUUUUUUCGACUAUUUUUUGGAACCUUGGAGACAUCAUGCCUCGUCGAUGUGUUGUCGGAGGGUGUAACAACACUAACAGGGAGGGAUUCAAGUUGCACCAUUGGCCCGAAGAUGCGAAAGCGGCAAGAAAUCUGCCGCCAGACCCCCAUUGAAUGUGCUGGAGUGUCUGCACAUUUUACCAGCGAUGACAGACAUGGCACAGAGAUGUAUGGAUAACCUGCAGAUGCAUUUGCAACGAUAAAGUCAACGAAAUCACAAAGACGUCCAGCAGGUGUCAGCAGAGAGUCAAGAAGAGAUUCCCUCCAAGCAGCAGGAGUGGAGCUCCAGUGUGGGACAGAAGGAGCUACAGGCCCCCUCCCACAUUAAAGAGGAGCAGCUUCAUGAUGAAGAGAAAGCUCAGUCCUUACAGCUUCAUCACAGUCAAAGUGAGGAGAACAGAGGGGCGGAGCUUGUAAGUCAAUACAUCACAGAAGCUGAUGGAGAGCAUUGUGAAGAUAUAAAGUCAGAACCAGACAGCAUCUUUGCUCCACUGUCAGACAUGGACCACAUGAUGUCAGACUCUUCUGAUCACAGUGACCACAUCCAAAAACUUUCGGAGAGUAAAAAUGACUCUAAAGGUGAUACGAGACAUCACACUAACAACAAACACUUUGACUGCUCUGAAUGUGGGAAAUUAUUUAGAAAGAGGUGUAAUUUUACAGUACACAUGAGAAUACAUACUGGAGAGAAACCUUUUACUUGCUCUGUUUGUAAGAAGAGUUUCUCCCAAAAGCAACACAUGACCACACACAUGAGAACACACACUGGAGAGAAACAUUUUGCUUGCUCUGUACGUAACAAGAGUUUCUCCACAAAACGUAUCAUGACCACACACAUGAGAACACAUAUUGGAGAGAAACCAUUUACUUGCUCGGUUUGCAAGAAGAGUUUCUCCGGAAAGCUUAACAUGAUCAGACGCAUGAGAAUACACGUUGUAGAGAAACCCUUUGCCUGCUCAGCUUGUGCUAAACGAGUUAACACCAAGUAUGACAUGAAUUCACAUUUGAGAACACUCACUGGUGAGAAACCUAUUACUUGCUCCAUUUGUAAGAAGAAUUUCUCCACAAAGCUUAACAUUACCAGACACAUAACAACACACACCGCAGAGAAACCCUUUACUUGUUCUGUUUGUAAGAAGAGUUUCUCCAGAAAGCUUGACAUGGCCACACACAUGAAAGGACAUACCGGAGAGAAGCCUUUUACUUGCUCUGUUUGUAAGAAGAGUUUCUACAGAAAGGGUGACAUUACCACACACAUGAAAAGACAUACUGGAGAGAAACCUUUUGCUUGCUCAGCCUGUGUUAAACGAUUCAACACUAAGUGUGACAUUAUUUCACACAUGAGAACACAUUCUGGAGAGAAACCGUUUAGUUGCACUGUGUGAUAAAACAUUCAGGUUCAGGCAUCAGGUCAGUAGACACAAGUGUUUAACAGUCAUGUAAGCUGCAGGGAUUUAAAACACUUAAAGGUCUACUGAAACCCACUACUACCGACCACGCAGUCUGAUAGUUUAUAUAUCAAUGAUGAAAUAUUAACAUUGCAACAUAUGCCAAUACGUCCGGUUUGGUUUACAAAAUUACAAUUUUAAAUUUCCCGCGGAAUUUCUUGUUGAAAAUAUCGCGGAAUGAUGACUCAUAUGAUGAUGCGUGUUUGUGACGUCACCGGUUGUAGCGGACAUAUUAGCCCAGCACCAGUUACGGCUAAAAGUCGUCUCUUUUCAUCGCACGAUUACACAUUAAAUUAGACAUCUGUGUUGCAGAAUCUUUUGCAAUUUGUUCAAUUAAUAAUGGAGACUAUCAAGAAUAAUGCUGUUGGUGGAAAGCGGUGGAUUGCAUCUACCUUUAUCACGGAAGCACAGUCGGUGUUUCUUUGUUUGUUAUGAAGCUUUAACACAGAGCAGUCAAGCGAAUAUGUCUCUGAACGUCAACCAGCAAGUUUUUGAAUGGGGAAAUUGUGAUAUUAAGUCGGCUCUUACCGGAGACUUCAAUGGAUUAUGGGACCUCCUGUAGCUGUCAAAAAGGCAGCUGUGAUCUUGGCUCCUCGGCUUCUCUCAGACACUGGCGUUCACCGCAGCCAUCCGACUUUGAGGUAGGACUUUAGGGUCUCUCUAAAAUACUGUGAACACAACAAGCAGAUAAGGGAUUUUCCAGAAUUAACCUAGUAAAUGUGUCUAAUUACAUAUGAAACGCUUCCACUGUCGCCGCUCAGCAAAAAUAUGGCAAUAUCGCGAAAUGAUCAAGUAUGACACAUAAAAUGGACCUGCUAUCCCCGUUUAAACAACAAAAUCUCAUUUCAGUAGGCCUUUAAACAGUGAUUGUGCUGAAUGUAAUUUAAAAACAGCAUGUUUAAUAUGAAUGUAUAUUUGGUGUUGUAUGUAGUACUUCUCAUCUUUUACUGUUAUAUGAUGUCCUCUACUUACUUUUUAAGUUGUGUACAUUUAUUGAAUUCAAAAUUCAAGAUUGAA